GCAGUCGAGGGGUAACAGGAAGAGCUUGCUCUUUGCUGACGACCGGCGCACGGGUGCGUAACGCGUAUACAAUCUACCUUGUACUGGGGUAUAGCCCAGAGAAAUUUGGAUUAAUCCCCCAUAGUACCAUUUUAUAGCAUUAUAUUAUGGUUAAAGGUUACGGUAUAAGAUGAGUAUGCGUCCUAUUAGUUAGUUGGUGAGGUAACGGCUUACCAAGACGACGAUAGGUAGGGGCCCUGAGAGGGGGAUCCCCCACACUGGUACUGAGACACGGACCAGACUCCUACGGGAGGCAGCAGUGAGGAAUAUUGGACAAUGGAGGUAACUCUGAUCCAGCCAUGCCGCGUGCAGGAAGACUGCCCUAUGGGUUGUAAACUGCUUUUAUACAGGAAGAAUUGCAGCUACGUGUAGUUGUUUGACGGUACUGUAAGAAUAAGGAUCGGCUAACUCCGUGCCAGCAGCCGCGGUAAUACGGAGGAUCCGAGCGUUAUCCGGAAUCAUUGGGUUUAAAGGGUCCGUAGGCGGGUUUAUAAGUCAGUGGUGAAAGUUUGCGGCUCAACCGUAAAAUUGCCAUUGAUACUGUAGAUCUUGAAAUUAGUGUGAAGUGGU
rnacentral:rRNA from 1 species